ACAUCUUCUGCAGCUGUCCUCUGACAGAGAUUUUCACAUUGAUUAUUGAAAAGUAGACUUUUAAAACAUUGAAGACAUCUAUACCAGGCUGGCAUCAUGUCUAAUAAAAAGCGAACAAAUAGUUCAAAGCCAGGAAUAAUGUUCUACUUUCACCACCAACCAAAGAAAGGAAAAACUGACAUUCCACUUCAAACACAGAACUUAGCACUGGACAAUGAAAUAGUAACUAUUGACUGUGAGGAAGUUGUUGCUGAGACAUCAGCUGAAUCACACGAUAAGUCUACAGAUGAAAAGCAAUAUCCAGCUGUGUGGUCAAAAGAACAAUUUGACGAAUUCAAAAAGAAACAUGAGUGGCUAUUUGCGUCUAGGGGAAAACUCGGCUGUACAAUCUGUGCAGAAGUUUCUAACUUAAAGAUUCACGCUGCUCGAGGCAUAAAUAUUGCUUCUCAGUGGGCAGAAUGUAACAUUUUACCUUUUGGUAAAACUAAGGAAA